rnacentral:rRNA from 1 species
GUGUGCGAUCAUACCAAUGUUAAUGCACCGGAUCCCAUUAGAACUCAACAGUUAAGCGCGCUUGGGCUAGAGUAGUACUGGGAUGGGUGACCUCCUAGGAAGUCCUAGUGUUGCACCCU